AUUGAACGCUGGCGGCAGGCCUAACACAUGCAAGUCGAGCGGUAGAGAGGUGCUUGCAUCUCCUGAGAGCGGCGGACGGGUGAGUAAUGCCUAGGAAUCUGCCUAGUGGUGGGGGAUAACGUUCGGAAACGGACGCUAAUACCGCAUACGUCCUACGGGAGAAAGCGGGGGGAUCUUCGGACCUCGCGCCAUUAGAUGAGCCUAGGUCGGAUUAGCUAGUUGGUGAGGUAAUGGCUCACCAAGGCGACGAUCCGUAACUGGUCUGAGAGGAUGAUCAGUCACACUGGAACUGAGACACGGUCCAGACUCCUACGGGAGGCAGCAGUGGGGAAUAUUGGACAAUGGGCGAAAGCCUGAUCCAGCCAUGCCGCGUGUGUGAAGAAGGUCUUCGGAUUGUAAAGCACUUUAAGUUGGGAGGAAGGGUA
rnacentral:rRNA from 1 species